rnacentral:rRNA from 1 species
ACGCUCGACACCUACGGGGGCAGCAGUCGGGAAUAUUGCGCAAUGGAGGAAACUCUGACGCAGUGACGCCGCGUAUAGGAAGAAGGUUUUCGGAUUGUAAACUAUUGUCGUUAGGGAAGAGAAAGGACAGUACCUAAGGAGGAAGCUCCGGCUAACUACGUACCAGCAGCCGCGGUAAUCUGAGCGGGCUGGCAAGGC